rnacentral:lncRNA from 1 species
UAAAUACAUUUAGCAACAAUAAUUGUUGAUGCCAAAAAAUUAACAUGCCGACCUACCCCACGUAUGAACCAAAGAAAUAAGGACAUGUGGUACACCAAGAGUCGGCAAUAAGGCGCCUGAAGGUUGAGAGCAUUUAGGCGGAAAUGGUUAAGAAGUGGAGCGUAGCUUCCAUGAGAAGUGGGUGUAACUUCCACGAUCAUUGUUACAACCACUUCCCUCCACUACUUUCAACCAACCAAUAAUGUGGGUUGAUAUUACUAUAAAUAGUAAUUUCGAAGCCUGUAAUAAGGGUCUCUCUUCCCUGAACGAGAAGAUCACCAUAUUUUCAUAUCUUUCCUUUCCUGCAUUUACUGCUUUCCUCGGAGUAGUUUUUAAGAUAGAUCUCUGGAGUCUGUAUGCCCCACGGGCACACUCUGUUGUAAACUAUAUUUUCAUAGUCUGUAUGCCCUUCGGGCACACUCUGUUGUAAACUAUAUUUUCAGAGUCUGUAUGCCCUUCGGGUACACUCUGUUUUAUUAAUAUAUAAAAGUAUUCGGCUCUUUCAGCCGACCACACUUUGUGUUUUCAUCCAUUCGGCUCUUUCAGCCGACCCUAGUUUCUGUGCAUUCUAUACAUUCAGCUCAUCCAGCCGAACCGAUUCUACAAUAGAGGUUUCGAACCCGGCUGAUCCGAUCCCUCAUCAGUCGAAUCGUUU